GGGCAGAACACGAAGUGCUGCUGGAUGAAUACGACACAGUCCCUCUCAAAAACGAAACAUAUUUGCUUAGUAGAGACCUUAAUGAAUUAUUUCCAACCCACUUUAACUGAGGAGACAGGGUCCUACAGACAGGGUCCUACAGACAGGGUCCUACAGACAGGGGCCUACAGACAGGGGCCUACAGACAGGGGCCUACAGACAGGGUCCUACAGACAGGGUCCUACAGACAGGGGCCUACAGUCAGGGGCCUACAGUCAGGGCCUACAGAAGGGGCCUACAAACAGGGGCCUACAGACAGGGGCCUACAGACAGGGCCUACAAACAGGGGCCUACAGACAGGGCCUACAAACAGGGGCCUACAGACAGGGGCCUACAGACAGGGGCCUACAGACAGGUCCUACAAACAGGGGCCUACAGACAGGGGCCUACAAACAGGGGCCUACAGACAAGGGCCUACAGACAGGGGCCUACAGACAGGGGCCUACAGACAAGGUCCUACAGACAGGGCCUACAGACAGGUCCUGCAGCCCAAUAUUUCAACAUUGUAUUUUUCAAUAUUGGUCCUAAAAAGUUGUCUUUGAAGCAAUUUUUUUCCAUAAGUAACUUAUUGCAUUUUCUUAUUAGCACAAUAAAGGUGGCCAUUGAUUAAAAUGGAAUCUUUUGAAUCAGUUAUUGAUGUUGAAAUUCAGGCUUUUAUGUUGAAGUUUUUUUAAUAGAAAUGUUUUUUUUUUUUUUUGUGAAAUAAGGUGUCAAGAAUGUGUAUUUUAAUUGACCUGCCUGAUAAAGUUAAGGUAAAUAAACGCAUUAUAUGAGAGUGAUGUCAUUGUUUGUGCUGCUGGCAGAACAAAAGGUCAAACUGUGGUUUGUAAUGAUUCUGUGAACUCGUAGAUCAAAUAGCCAAAAGGGUGAUAGAACAUGAAUCAAUAGAUGCUCCACUGGGUCGAGCUGAGGCUCAAUGUAAGAUCAGAGACAUGUUGGUAGAUGUGUGGCAGAAGGGUUUGGAUUCAGAGACCAAGGGCCGGCAUUUAUAAUCCCUCCAAAGGAAGGUUGGAGGACCAAGAUUCCAAGGUCAGACUAGGAAAGAAGAGGUGGCUCCAAUACCAAAUCGUCCCUUAAGCCCUGCACCCCAUGUACUUGUGUAGAUCUGAGAGGAUUUGAUAACACUGAAGAGGGGAGAGACCGUUAAGAGACCAUUGUUAAUUGAAUUCAUCAUUCCAUUUGGUUGGCC
ensembl:lncRNA